rnacentral:rRNA from 1 species
UACGGCGGGGGCCAGCGUUGUUCGGAAUUACUGGGCGUAAAGCGCACGUAGGCGGAACAGAAAGUCAGAGGUGAAAUCCCAGGGCUCAACCUUGGAACUGCCUUUGAAACUCCUGUUCUUGAGGUCGAGAGAGGUGAGUGGAAUUCCGAGUGUAGAGGUGAAAUUCGUAGAUAUUCGGAGGAACACCAGUGGCGAAGGCGGCUCACUGGCUCGAUACUGACGCUGAGGUGCGAAAGCGUGGGGAGCAAACAGG